rnacentral:rRNA from 1 species
UACGUAGGGCGCAAGCGUUAUCCGGAAUUAUUGGGCGUAAAGAGCUCGUAGGCGGUUUGUCGCGUCUGCCGUGAAAGUCCGGGGCUCAACCCCGGAUCUGCGGUGGGUACGGGCAGACUAGAGUGAUGUAGGGGAGACUGGAAUUCCUGGUGUAGCGGUGAAAUGCGCAGAUAUCAGGAGGAACACCUGUGGCGAAGGCGGCUUUCUGGGCCUUACCUGACGCUGAGACGCGAAAGCGUGGGGAGCGAACCGG